rnacentral:rRNA from 1 species
UACGUUGGGUGCGAGCGUUGUCCGGAAUUAUUGGGCGUAAAGAGCUUGUAGGUGGUUUGUCGCGUCUGCUGUGAAAAUCCGAGACUCAACCUCGGACUUGCAGUGGGUACGGGCAGACUAGAGUGUGGUAGGGGAGACUGGAAUUCCUGGUGUAGCGGUGGAAUGCGCAGAUAUCAGGAGGAACACCGAUGGCGAAGGCAGGUCUCUGGGCCAUUACUGACACUGAGAAGCGAAAGCAUGGGGAGCGAGCAGG